GACAGAGGUGCCAAGCGUUAGGCGGAAUCACUGGGCUUAAAGCGUGUGUAGGCGGAUCGUUAAGUCCCUUGUGAAAUCCCUCGGCUCAACUGAGGAACUGCCUUUGAAACUGUACGGCUUGAGGCCGGGAGGGGGUAGCGGAAUUCCCAAUGUAGCGGUGAAAUGCGUAGAUAUUGGGAGGAACACCAGUGGCGAAGGCGGCUACCUGGACCGGUUCUGACGCUGAGGCGCGAAAGCGUGGGUAGCAAACAGG
rnacentral:rRNA from 1 species